rnacentral:rRNA from 1 species
UACGUAAGGGUGCGAGCGUUAAUCGGAAUUACUGGGCGUAAAGCGUGCGUAGGCGGUUGGCAAAGUCAGCUGUGAAAGCCCCGGGCUUAACCUGGGAGGUGCGUCUGGGACUGGGUGGCUAGAGUUCGGGAGAGGAGAGUGGAAUUCCCAGUGUAGAGGUGAAAUUCGUAGAUAUCAGGAGGAACACCGGUGGCGAAGGCGGUUCUCUGGGCAUUACCUGACGCUGAGGAGCGAAAGCAUGGGGAGCGAACAGG